rnacentral:rRNA from 1 species
GACGAACGCUGGCGGCGCGCUUAACACAUGCAAGUCGAGCGACGCGGCGGACGGGUGAGUAACACGUGCGUAACCUGCCUUAGACAUUGGGAUAGCCUCGGGUAACCUGUCUUAAUACCAAAUGUUCGAAGAUGGACUCGCGUCCCAUUAGCUAGUUGGUGGGUAACGGCCAACCAAGGCGACGAUGGGUAGCCGGCGUGAGAGAGUGAACGGGCAGAUUGGAACUGAGGAACGGUACAAACUAUACGGGAGGCAGCAGGGGGGAAUAUUGCACAAUGGAGGGAACUCUGAUGCAGCGACGCCGCGUGAACGAAGAAGGCUUUCGAGUCGAAAAGUUCUUUUAUAUGGGAAGCGGUACCAUAAGAAAAAGCCCCGGAUAACUACGUGCCAGCAGCCGCGGUAAUUC